GUCACGGCAUUGUGCUGCUUCAUGUCGUUACUCAGCGCCGACAAAAAAAACCCUCUGCACUGAAAACAGAAAGGCGUAUUAAAAGCUGUCACAGUGCUCUCCAACUAAACAGAGUCCAACUAAACUCCAUUAACCGAGUGUGUCUAAUGGAGCGGAUGAGUGAGCCGUGUUGGCCCGGCUGUGUUAAGAGCCCGGAGCAUGCUUUCUUUGCGCUGAUGGGAUCUCUGGCAACCGAUCGGAACGGACGGAACACUCAGCGGACCGGCGACUCGGCCCAAAUUGGCAGCGGCAGCACGUAAGUCAAUAGCAAGCUCAAAAAAAGAAACAAAACAGCCUGUUCUUGGCACAAACGCCUCUGGCCUUAGAUAACCAGGCCUCUCAGAGAUUGAGAGAACUAAGAGCAGAGAAAUGGAAGAGAGGAGGAGGCUUUAAGCCUCUUAGGGAAGUCACCACUCGAGCAGGAGGCAACGGGAUCCAUCGAUUUUGACGCUAGUGGAUUUUUCAAUUCAGCUUCCAUGAAAAGCUCCGCUGGUCUCUCCGUGACAUCACCGGCCUCCUCGGGCGAGGCGCGGGCCAAUCAGAGGGGCUCCAUCAGUCAGUUGUCAUGGCGAUGGUGUGUGUAAGAGUCGAUGUGGGUAUGCUCGAACGCUCGUGAACGCUCUCACACACACGUGCACACACAGGGCUGUCAGUGUGGGGAUCAGGAACGUACCAUGUGUCUCAUUUCCAGGCUUGAGACAGCACUGAGGAAGGUUCAGUACAGCACAUAAUCUAAACCAAUAGCCCCACAGAGAGUGUGGGGGAAAAAAAUACCAUCCCAGGUGAGAACAAUGAGUUUGUUUCUUUAAAUAUAAAAAAUAAAGGAUCCGUGUGUGUGUGUGUGUGUGAGUGUGUGUGCUGGUGAGAGAGCUGCUGCCUAAAGAAGUUGAGCUUUGCUUGCCAAGCUUGUUUCCCUUUUCAGAUCAACACUGUCAAUAUUGUACGCCUUGCAUUUUUCACACUUCUGUAAUCCCUACAGAAAGCCCGACCCAUGAGUCGCUUUGAUCUAUUUCAGUCUUCAGCAUUUCCACAGCCUCCUAAUAUGGAUCGCUCGGUACAUGCGCAGGAAUUCGCCGGCGUAGAAACUCCAACGCUUUCAUCGACGGUGUCAGUGUCUCCGAGACGAUGAUUAAUAGCAAUGGAUUAGAAGUCUGUUUGCAUUCGGGCGAGGAGAGAAGUGACAGGCGGUGACGUGUUGUCCAUAAAAACGAGAGACGGACGCCGGACGCGGAAUGCGAAAACGACUCGCUGCUGUCGGACGUUGCUCAUAUUCAUGGAACGGACGGCGUGAAACGGCAUGCGGCGAGAGAUAAGGGAAGAGAGAAAAUAAAUAAACAAGCAAGCAACAAG